AUCAAUUCCGUUUGUUUCCUGUGAAAGUAGACUCACGCAUCUACGUUUCUACACCUUUCGUUCGUCAAACGACCCGUCGACUGCUCGUGCUUCGGAGUCUACGCAGGGUUAGCUGUUUGCCAAGAUCACGUGGAUAAGCAAGCUGUUUAUGAUUUGAAAGCUGGUCCACUCCGAUUCUUUUGAUUCGUCGGAGGUUUUUAUGUUAUUAAACUAGUUUCUGUUUUCAAACUCUUAGACCGCAGUAGAACUAGUUUAUAUAUUACAUUUGUUAUUGCAUUGGGAUUGUCGAUUAGACCGAUUAUUUAUUAUUGGCAUAUUUA